UAGCAUUGAUUCUUCCUAGUCCUCUAUAUCUCUGGUUGUUGUAGUUGAAGUCCUCCAGGCGCACACCAGAACGGCCGCCUCCUCCAGAGGUGGUGUGCACUUGCAGUCCCAACUACUCAGGAGGCUGAGGGCUGAGGUGAGAAAAUCACUUCAACCCAGGAGGUGGAGGUUACAGUGAGCUGAGAUGACGCCACUACACUCCAGCCUGGGCGACAGAGCAAGACUCCGUCUCAAAAAAAAAAAAAAAAGGCAUUAUAAAAAACAAGUCAGGCUGGGCACAGUGGCUCACACUUGUAAUCCCAGCUCUUUGGGAGGCCAAGGAGGGUGGAUCACCUGAGGUCAGGAAUUCCAGACAGCCUGGCCAACCUGGUGAAACCCGUCUCUACUAAAAAUACAAAAAUUAGCUGGGUGUGUUGGUGGGCUCCCGUAAUCCCAGCUACUUGGGAAGCUGAGGUAGAAGAAUCGCUUGAACUCAAGAGGCAGAGGUUGCAGUGAGCAGAGAUCACGCCACUGCACUUCAGCCUGGGCGAUGGAGUGAGACUCUGCCUUUAAAAAAAAAAAAAAAAAAAGGCAGCCAGGCACAGGGGGGCGGUCCCCUGCUCAGGUGGUCAGACCCUGUGCUCACGCCAGGUCACUACCACUAACACGCCUAACCACUGGGGGCACCACUGCUCCUGCCACCCCAAGAGUAAAGAAGAGUAGAAUGCUUCCCCCUUGAGUCAGUAAAGAUACAGUUAUAGAUUGUCAAAGAGACACUCUACUCUGCAGCUUAAGGAAAUCUGAACAAUAAAGACCCCUCAACCCACAGCAAUUAGUUAAUCAACCAAGUGCAAAUUUAUACCUAAUUUUUUUAACAGCCUUGUCUGGCUCUCAAGAA
rnacentral:lncRNA from 10 species